CCUCACUCCAGCUUCCCUGGCCUCUGUGCCUUUCCUGCUGGCACAAGGACACUUGACAUUGGGUUUAGAGCCCACCCGAGGCCAGGGAGUUCUCAUCCCAAGAUCCCCACCUUAAUUCCAUCUGCAAAGAGUGCUGAGGACACAGCGUGAGAGAGAAAAGGACAGACGCCUCCUUCUUUCUGGAGCCUGGAUGGGGCGGACGGGCACGGGGGAAGCCUCAGCCACUGUCUACUCAGAUUUCCACACACCACUGCCGAGUGGCCUCCUGUUCUCUGUGUUUGUGUCUCCUCUUCUGCCUCUUAGAAGGACACCUGUCACUGGAUUUAGGGCCCUUCCAGGUACUCCAGGAUAAUAUCAUCUGCUGGAGAUCCCUUCCUUGAUCACGACUGCGAAGACCCUAAUUCCAAGCGGCUGGACUUGCUCCCUGAUACCCCCAACCUGCAGACACGUGGCCUUGGAUUCAAGCGGGGCUGGGUUCCUCGGCCUCUGCCAGGCCACCCCACCCUCCCCCAGCUCCCGGCAGAGACCAGCACCCAAAACACUGCAGGCCGGCAGAACUGGAGAUCAGCAGACCCCAGAGGUGUAGACC